UACGAAGGGGGCUAGCGUUGUUCGGAAUUACUGGGCGUAAAGCGCACGUAGGCGGGUCGUUAAGUCAGGGGUGAAAUCCCAGAGCUCAACUCUGGAACUGCCUUUGAUACUGGCGACCUAGAGUUCGGAAGAGGUUAGUGGAAUUCCCAGUGUAGAGGUGGAAUUCGUAGAUAUUAGGAAGAACACCAGUGGCGAAGGCGGCUCACUGGUCCGGUACUGACGCUGAGGUGCGAAAGCGUGGGGAGCAAACAGG
rnacentral:rRNA from 1 species